CUCACAUAGCCAGCACACCCGCUCAAGGGGAAAUAAGGGAAGAGAGCCAGGAACACCUUGACAGGAGACUUGCUCUCAUGCUCGAGAAGGGGGGAUGACGCAAAAAGGCCGACUGACCUGGGCAGCCGCUUCCCCCAACACAGAUCCCGUGAUGACCCUCCAGGGAGCGGGCAGGGGAGGCGAGGGCCCAGUUCACUCAGGGACCUAGAGGGCCACAAGGCAGCACAUUGAAGGCAGGGCGCGGGAG